AUAGUGAACCAGUACCGUGAGGGAAAGGCGAAAAGAACCCCGGCGAGGGGAGUGAAAAAGAACCUGAAACCGUGUACGUACAAGCAGUGGGAGCACCUUCGGGUGUGACUGCGUACCUUUUGUAUAAUGGGUCAGCGACUUAUAUUCUGUAGCAAGGUUAACCGUAUAGGGGAGCCGCAGGGAAACCGAGUCUUAACUGGGCGUUAAGUUGCAGGGUAUAGACCCGAAACCCGGUGAUCUAGCCAUGGGCAGGUUGAAGGUUGGGUAACACUAACUGGAGGACCGAACCGACUAAUGUUGAAAAAUUAGCGGAUGACUUGUGGCUGGGGGUGAAAGGCCAAUCAAACCGGGAGAUAGCUGGUUCUCCCCGAAAGCU
rnacentral:rRNA from 1 species